GGGGACUUCAGGAUGAUGACUAGCCUUGGCCCUGCCCUCAGAGCACCCAGUGCAUCUGAGCAUCCACAGCCACAAGGCAGACAGACCUACAUGACACCCACGGCUUCACCGGCUGCCUUGUGACCAUGAAAGAAAGGCCUGGAAAAUCACAAGGAUGUCAGCCCCCACACUGCAGAACUAUCUCCAGUAACCAGAACUUUGUGUUAUGUCAGAAAAAAAAAACACUAUUCAGGAUUCAGGAUUUGCUUGA